rnacentral:rRNA from 1 species
UCGCCUGCAGCUUAAGAAGCCUCUGCAGUUUGGAUUUCCCGUCAGCGAGGGACCGUGCCGAACUUGAUUGUUCGUGUAUUGUGUUGUCUUCAGCCAUCCUCGUGGAGAACUUUUCUAACAUUAACUUGUUGGGAUUGGGACCCGCGUCGUUUACUGUGAAAAAAUUAGAGUGUUUAAAGCAGGCAUUAGCUUGAAUACAUUACCUUGGAAUAAUAAGACAGGACUUUGGUACUAUUUUGUUGGUUGGCAUCCCCCCCUUAAUGAUCGACAGGCAACAGUUUGAGGAAAUUCUCCUGAACAUGUCAGAGGUGAAAUGCUUGGAUUUUGAUCAGACCAACUACUGCGAAAGCAUUUAUCAAGGAUGUUUUCUCUUAAUCAAGACCGCAAAGUUAGGGGAUCGAAUAUGAUUAGAUAACAUCCCAGGGUUGUCCAUACACUAUGCUGACUAGGCAAAGGCUUACCUCAUGUAUUUUACUUCACCNCCACAUCACCACAAACAAAAUCAUUGCGUUCGGGUCCCGAGUAGAGUCACGUCCCUGAGGCUUAACUUAAUGGAAUUAAGGGAACGCCCCCCCCGGGGGCUGGGCUUCCGUGAUUCCCCCCAGAAAAAAAAA